rnacentral:rRNA from 1 species
UUGCCCCAGUAACGGCGAGUGAAGCGGCAACAGCUCAAAUUUGAAAUCUGGCCCUUUCAGGGCCCGAGUUGUAAUUUGCAGAGGGCGCUUUGGCGUUGGCUCCUGCCUAAGUUCCUUGGAACAGGACGUCAUAGAGGGUGAGAACCCCGUACGUGGCAGGCCGCCUUCGCCGUGUAAAGCCCCUUCGACGAGUCGAGUUGUUUGGGAAUGCAGCUCUAAAUGGGAGGUAAAUUCCUUCUAAAGCUAAAUACUGGCCAGAGACCGAUAGCGCACAAGUAGAGUGAUCGAAAGAUGAAAAGCACUUUGGAAAGAGAGUCAAAAAGCACGUGAAAUUGUUGAAAGGGAAGCGCUUGCAGCCAGACUUGCCUGCAGUUGUUCAUCCGGGCUCCCGCCCGGUGCACUCUUCUGCGGGCAGGCCAGCAUCAGUUUGGGCGGCCGGAUAAAGGCCCCAGGAACGUAGCUCUCUCCGGGGAGUGUUAUAGCCUGGGGCGCAAUGCGGCCAGCCCGGACUGAGGUCCGCGCAUCUGCUAGGAUGCUGGCGUAAUGGCUGUAAGCGGCCCGUCUUGAAACACGGACCAAGGAGUCUAACAUCUAUGCGAGUGUUUGGGUGUAAAGCCCGGGCGCGUAAUGAAAGUGAACGGAGGUGGGAACCCCCUGGGGUGCACCAUCGACCGAUCCUGAUGUCUUCGGAUGGAUUUGAGUAAGAGCAUAGCUGUUGGGACCCGAAAGAUGGUGAACUAUGCCUGAAUAGGGUGAAGCCAGAGGAAACUCUGGUGGAGGCUCGCAGCGGUUCUGACGUGCAAAUCGAUCGUCAAAUUUGGGCAUAGGGGCGAAAGACUAAUCGAG